AUACCUCAACCUCUACAUUUCUUGUAAAGUGUAGCAGCGUUGGAUGCUGAGCGCUGCUGUGCCUCUUUUGUGCACAGCUCGCUUCAAAUGCAUAAGCAAUCUUUGUACUACUCGGAUUGACUUGACGUGAUAAAAUCUUCGUCGAGGAUGCUUUCAAUAGCAGCCGGAUUGUAUACCAGUCGCUUCUAAACUGAGUCGCCCUCGUGCGAUGCUCCUUUUAAA
rnacentral:misc_RNA from 1 species